rnacentral:rRNA from 1 species
ACUCCUACGGGAGGCAGCAGUGGGGAAUAUUGCACAAUGGGGGAAACCCUGAUGCAGCCAUGCCGCGUGUGUGAAGAAGGCCUUCGGGUUGUAAAGCACUUUCAGUAGGGAGGAAGGUAGUGUAGUUAACACCUGCAUUAUUUGACGUUACCUACAGAAGAAGCACCGGCUAACUCCGUGCCAGCAGCCGCGGUAAUACGGAGGGUGCGAGCGUUAAUCGGAAUUACUGGGCGUAAAGCGCAUGCAGGCGGCCUGUUAAGUCAGAUGUGAAAGCCCGGGGCUUAACCUCGGAAUUGCAUUUGAAACUGGCAGGCUAGAGUCUUGUAGAGGGGUUAGAAUUUCAGGUGUAGCGGUGAAAUGCGUAGAGAUCUGAAGGAAUACCAGUGGCGAAGGCGGCCCCCGUGGACAAAGACUGACGCUCAGAUGCGAAAGCGUGGGAGCAAACAGGAUUAGAUACCCCUGGUAGCGACUGA